rnacentral:rRNA from 1 species
AUUGAACGCUGGCGGCAUGCCUUACACAUGCAAGUCGAACGGUAACGGGCCUUCGGGUGCCGACGAGUGGCGAACGGGUGAGUAAUACAUCGGAACGUGCCCGAUCGUGGGGGAUAACGAGGCGAAAGCUUUGCUAAUACCGCAUACGAUCUACGGAUGACAGCAGGGGACCGCAAGGCCUUGCGCGGACGGAGCGGCCGAUGGCAGAUUAGGUAGUUGGUGGGAUAAAAGCUUACCAAGCCGACGAUCUGUAGCUGGUCUGAGAGGAUGAUCAGCCACACUGGAACUGAGACACGGCCCAGACUCCUACGGGAGGCAGCAGUGGGGAAUUUUGGACAAUGGGCGCAAGCCUGAUCCAGCCAUGCCGCGUGCAGGAAGAAGGCCUUCGGGUUGUAAACUGCUUUUGUACGGAAAGAAAAGCAUUCUUUUAAUACAGGAGGGUCAUGACGGUACCGAAAGAAUAAGCACCGGCUAACUACGUG